CCCUAUGGGGUGCAGCAGGCGACACGGUGGUAGGCGCUAACUCCGGAAAGACGGGAAUCGUUGUGGCUGUCUAUGUGGAUUCCGGUACAUGGGCGGAAGAAACUGCGGCAGGCUACCUCUAUGUGAAAUAUCCUGGUGUGAAUUGGAGCAACUGGACCAACUCCGAGGAUAUCCGGGUUGGUGGAGCCACCAGAGCAGCGACCACAGGGGUAGGUGAAGCUCUUGGGCUGACCAGGCAGGAUGCAGAGACAUACUGCAACAACAUCGGCUCCCGCUGGGGCUGUGAGAAUAUUUGGACAUUAGAUGCGUUGACGAUGCUCUACUUGGUGGAGUAUGCCAACUGGAAUUCGCAGUCUACCAGCGCAGGAAUUGGCGGGGGGGC
rnacentral:rRNA from 1 species